AACAGUCUAACUACUCGGGAGAAAUAUAGCUGAAACAAGAGCAUGACACACAACAUUUACAUCCAUCACUGAAGAAAUGUCAGUAGUAUCUUCAAAAUUCUAUAAAUAUGCUACAUAAUGUAUGCAUCUUUUUAUGCAGGUCAAGCUUUAGCGACGACUUUCCAGGACACUCAGCGUACCUCCAGUGGCUCCGCUAGCUCCCAAGCUCGG
rnacentral:lncRNA from 1 species